AGUAACAUCACAUGAUUUUUUAGGUAAUUCCUUCAAAUUUUCAGGGAAAGAAAAUUCUCCAGGCUGAGUCAUAAUUUCAAAACAUAAAGGCAAAAAGCUACCCAGUUCAUCUUACGAAGCUGACGUAAUCGGAAAAAAAAUCCGACCACAUAGCAUAAAAAAUUAACUCUGUGAACAGAGAUGAAAACAUUCUCAAAUAAAAUUCUAAUAAAUCCAAUUCAGUAUAGUAGUAAAAUAAUAAUCCAUUCUGAGCAACUAGAUUUUAUGAUAAGAAAAUGAAAAUGGUUUACUAUAGCUAUACCACGAUUUUAGCAGAUGCUGGAAAUGAGCUUCAGAAAAUUCCGUACUUAUUCUUGAAUAGAAGUUCUAAAUAAGCUAGUUCUAGAACGAUAAAACUUAAACAAAGAGUAGGCAUCAUGUAUAACAAUGAGAGACUUCAGACAGUCCAGAAAAUACAGAGCAAGUCUAGGUUGGUGGUUAUUACUUCUGGUAGUACUACAGUUCUGGAAGUCCAGCCAUAUGUGGUGAAGCAUGGACAGACUGCAGUGGCCAAUGAGCUAUAUAAAUCAUCAUCAUCGGGUGGCUUCUAGAAAAGACCUGAGAGAGAACACUUUGAACUUGAGCUUGGACGUUUUAUUACACUAAGGAUGGCAGAGCAAAAAGACAAAAGGAGCCAUUUUUGAAGAUGUCAUGGGCUCUCACACCAACCCCAGCCUGCUUAUCAUCAAACUUCUCUUAUGUAACAGAACAGAUAGAUGUUUUAACAUACUAUAGCAAUCUCUCUACUUAGCAUUUCCGAAGAGAUACAUAUACCAAUACAGAUUAUGAAUCUCAAAAGAGGCAGAUCUAGAAUGCCCCCUUUGGAAGCAAGAUCAAUGAUGAGCAUUUUGUUAGCAUAUGUGUAGUUCCCAAAAAGUAGUUUGGGGAAUGCUGGUCUAAUUUAAUUGACAGAUACUGCUUGGAUGUUUUCUUUCAGGGGGAAAAUUUAUCAGCCAGAAACUGUCAGUUUCCUUCAUGCUAUAGAGAGAGUCUAUUUAAAGUAUUACAAUCCAUUGA